GGGUCUGCUUCCGGGGUUCGCGACCUGCGGGCUCCGUCCGGGUCUCCAGAGACGAGCGGAUUGUGUCGCACCUCUUUCCCGGAGCCACUUGGGGCGGGGGCGGCGCACUGCAGAGGCCCGGGUUCCCGCGGCUUGAGGGAAACGGCUGAGGGCCGGAGGAUCUGCUUGCACAACCCCCUUCUCGCGCCCGCCGGGAUCCCAGAUCAGCUGCAAGCCUGGGCUGGCGUCCGCCUCGCGGUCUUCACCCACCCCAGUAAACCAUACCCUGUCCCCGUGUGGAGAUGCAAACCACUGAAAACCGCAGCGUGGACCCGAGCUGCCCUUUAGGACAGUCUCUCCCUGGAAAAAUCCCUCUCGCGACCACAGCCUGUCGUCUGGGGACAGCUAAGGAGACACUGCUCAAAACUGGGGACGAAGACUUACCUGAAGCCGCAAGCUCAUUCCGACUUCACCAGUGACCUUGGACGCCUCUUCUAAACAAGGUGUCUCUGUUGAACUUCCUGAUUCUGGGGAUAAAGGUGGCUAUUCACUUUCUAACUCUAAGGAGGUAAUAGCGACUGGGUUUAAGAAAAAAAAAAACACUCCAGACAUCUUUAAUAACAAGUGCAAUAUAAAUAUAAUUUGUAUUGACUUUAGGUAAGGUUGAAGGAAACCUUAAGACUGGGAAGAAAACCGUUUUAAUUUGUUAGUACAAAUGCAAAACUAAUUCAUCAGCCCCUCUACCUGUUUUUCUGGGAAGGUCAUCCCCAUCAAGAACUUUUCCACCUGCCUCGGUUCUUGGGAGAGCCAGUCACUGUCCAUUUACAUGUGUCCUCUCUAAGACCAUCGUCCAGUUACCUCUUAAAUGUGGGUGUUUUCUUGCCUGUCCACUGAUCUCACAAUCG